UACGGAGGGUGCAAGCGUUAUCCGGAUUCACUGGGCUUAAAGGGUGCGUAGGUGGGCAAGUAAGUCAGUGGUGAAAUCUCCGGGCUUAACCCGGAAACUGCCAUUGAUACUAUUUGUCUUGAAUACUGUGGAGGUCAGCGGAAUAUGUCAUGUAGCGGUGAAAUGCUUAGAUAUGACAUAGAACACCAAUUGCGAAGGCAGCUGGCUACACAAAUAUUGACGCUGAGGCACGAAAGCGUGGGGAUCAAACAGG
rnacentral:rRNA from 1 species